AACGCCGCGUGAGUGAUGAAGGUCUUCGGAUCGUAAAACUCUGUUAUUAGGGAAGAACAAAUGUGUAAGUAACUAUGCACGUCUUGACGGUACCUAAUCAGAAAGCCACGGCUAACUACGUGCCAGCAGCCGCGGUAAUACGUAGGUGGCAAGCGUUAUCCGGAAUUAUUGGGCGUAAAGCGCGCGUAGGCGGUUUUUUAAGUCUGAUGUGAAAGCCCACGGCUCAACCGUGGAGGGUCAUUGGAAACUGGAAAACUUGAGUGCAGAAGAGGAAAGUGGAAUUCCAUGUGUAGCGGUGAAAUGCGCAGAGAUAUGGAGGAACACCAGUGGCGAAGGCGACUUUCUGGUCUGUAACUGACGCUGAUGUGCGAAAGCGUGGGGAUCAAACAGGAUUAGAUACCCUGGUAGUCCACGCCGUAAACGAUGAGUGCUAAGUGUUAGGGGGUUUCCGCCCCUUAGUGCUGCAGCUAACGCAUUAAGCACUCCGCCUGGGGAGUACGACCGCAAGGUUGAAACUCAAAGGAAUUGACGGGGACCCGCACAAGCGGUGGAGCAUGUGGUUUAAUUGGAAGCAACGCGAAGAACCUUACCAAAUCUUGACAUCCUC
rnacentral:rRNA from 1 species